rnacentral:rRNA from 1 species
UACUGGGCGUAAAGCGCAUGCAGGUGGUUUGUUAAGUCAGAUGUGAAAGCCCGGGGCUCAACCUCGGAAUUGCAUUGAAACUGACAGACUAGAGUACUGUAGAGGGGGGUAGAAUUUCAGGUGUAGCGGUGAAAUGCGUAGAGAUCUGAAGGAAUACCGGUGGCGAAGGCGGCCCCCUGGACAGAUACUGACACUCAGAUGCGAAAGCGUGGGGAGCAAACAGGAUUAGAUACCCUGGUAGUCCACGCCGUAAACGAUGUCUACUUGGAGGUUGUGGCCUUGAGCCGUGGCUUUCGGAGCUAACGCGUUAAGUAGACCGCCUGGGGAGUACGGUCGCAAGAUUAAAACUCAAAUGAAUUGACGGGGGCCCGCACAAGCGGUGGAGCAUGUGGUUUAAUUCGAUGCAACGCGAAGAACCUUACCUACUCUUGACAUCCAUAGAACUUUCCAGAGAUGGAUUGGUGCCUUCGGGAACUAUGAGACAGGUGCUGCAUGGCUGUCGUCAGCUCGUGUUGUGAAAUGUUGGGUUAAGUCCCGCAACGAGCGCAACCCUUAUCCUUGUUUGCCAGCACUUCGGGUGGGAACUCCAGGGAGACUGCCGGUGAUAAACCGGAGGAAGGUGGGGACGACGUCAAGUCAUCAUGGCCCUUACGAGUAGGGCUACACACGUGCUACAAUGGCGCAUACAGAGGGCGGCCAACUUGCGAAAGUGAGCGAAUCCCAAAAAGUGCGUCGUAGUCCGGAUUGGAGUCUGCAACUCGACUCCAUGAAGUCGGAAUCGCUAGUAAUCGUGGAUCAGAAUAACACGGUG